GUUUUCUGCAAUUUGUUUACUGUAACGUUUGUAAAUUGCAUUGCCAUAAGCCAUUGAAUAAAUUCCAAAAGGCCUGGGGCGAGGGGGAUUCGAACCCCAGACCCUUGCUUCAGAUACCAAGUGUUUUACCACUGGGGCGCGAUGCCAAUUCAAUUAUUAAAUGCCUUCUAAAAUAUAUAUUUAAAAAGGAGCGCUGCUACUGGGCGCGUUGACCGG
rnacentral:lncRNA from 1 species